CAUGCAAGUCGAGCGGAAACGACACUAACRAUYCUUCGGRUGMGUUAAUGGGCGUCGAGCGGCGGACGGGUGAGUAAUGCCUAGGAAAUUGCCUUGAUGUGGGGGAUAACCAUUGGAAACGAUGGCUAAUACCGCAUAAUGCCUACGGGCCAAAGAGGGGGAYCUUCGGRCCUCUCGCGUCAAGAUAUGCCUAGGUGGGAUUAGCUAGUUGGUGAGGUAAUGGCUCACCAAGGCGACGAUCCCUAGCUGGUCUGAGAGGAUGAUCAGCCACACUGGAACUGAGACACGGUCCAGACUCCUACGGGAGGCAGCAGUGGGGAAUAUUGCACAAUGGGCGAAAGCCUGAUGCAGCCAUGCCGCGUGUAUGAAGAAGGCCUUCGGGUUGUAAAGUACUUUCAGUUGUGAGGAAGGGUGUGUAGUUAAUAGCUGCGCAUCUUGACGU
rnacentral:rRNA from 1 species